CUGAAGCUCAGCCUUGCUCCAGUGCCUCCAGGGAUCUGCGUCCAGGUGGAAAGGAGAGUUUGUGGGAAAAGUCACACUGGUGUAGGCAACUUAAAACUUGAUUUCCAGUUCAGGAUGGCAGAGUAGAAGGAUGUACACUCAUCUCCUGUGAGAGCACCAAAAUUGCAACUAGCUGUUGAACGACCAUCAACAGAACACUGGAACCCACCAAAAACAGGGAAAAAAGAGUACAAAACUCACUUUGGAACAACAAAUGAUGUUUUCAGAUGAUCAAGAGAAAGAUCUACAACCAAGUGAGAAAAAAACUGAAGUUGGCGCUCGGAAACCUCAUCAGGAAGUGUGGAUUAACACACUCUUGAGAGAUGUCCCUCUCACCCCAGCAUGCAAGGCUCUUGGAGUCAGAUGGUGGAUAUCCAGAUGUAAGAAAUCCGAGGCCCAGACCAAUCAGCUGAAUUGUCCCACAGGAAGUUGGUGGUAGAAGACCUAGAAGACCACGGCCUAGUGCUGGACUCCUCACCCAGGGCUUUUGUCAAAAGGUUAAAAACUCCGGGAGUUGAAGUGAAUUGCUCAGGGUCACAAAUCUAGUUAAGCAGCUGGACAUGGAGCCAGCAGACCUGUUUCCUAAUGACCAGGGCAGGACUCUUUCAUGAUACCCUCUCAUCUGUGUUUCGUGGUAAAUCCUGCAUCAAGUAGGACUAUGUAGACCAGGCCCCUGUCAAGACCCAAGACCCACUGUUCCUCUGCACUCUGUUCACACUUGACUCAGAGCAGGUCAAACACUCUGGUUCCAAUUGUUUUUUAUUCCUGAAGAGUGAAGACCCAGUCCUACUCACUUUGUGUCCUUGCACCUUACUGAAUAGCUUGGUGGCUAUAGGUGCUCAACAAGUGUUAAGUAGAAUGAAUGAAUAAUGAAUGAUUUAAAUAGAGUGAAUAGAUGAAUGACAAAAGCAUCACAGGAAGGCACAGAGGAGGGUGUUUAUGCAAUCAACUCUACUACCACAAGCAGGCUUAAUAAAAUAAAAGGUACAAUUACACAACUACUUUAGAGCAUUAAACGAAGCUUCUGACUUGAUACUUUUCAUGAAAUAGGCUUUACUAGGCAGGGCACGUUACCCAAUAUUUUACCAUUCAAAUCACAAGCAGGUAUU